AGAGUUUGAUCCUGGCUCAGAUUGAACGCUGGCGGCAGGCCUAACACAUGCAAGUCGAACGGUAACAGGAAGCAGCUUGCUGCUUUGCUGACGAGUGGCGGACGGGUGAGUAAUGUCUGGGAAACUGCCUGAUGGAGGGGGAUAACUACUGGAAACGGUAGCUAAUACCGCAUAACGUCGCAAGACCAAAGAGGGGGACCUUAGGGCCUCUUGCCAUCGGAUGUGCCCAGAUGGGAUUAGCUAGUAGGUGGGGUAACGGCUCACCUAGGCGACGAUCCCUAGCUGGUCUGAGAGGAUGACCAGCCACACUGGAACUGAGACACGGUCCAGACUCCUACGGGAGGCAGCAGUGGGGAAUAUU
rnacentral:rRNA from 1 species